rnacentral:rRNA from 1 species
GAUGAACGCUGGCGGCGUGCCUAAUACAUGCAAGUCGAGCGAACAGACGAGGAGCUUGCUCCUCUGACGUUAGCGGCGGACGGGUGAGUAACACGUGGAUAACCUACCUCUAAGACUGGGAUAACUUCGGGAAACCGGAGCUAAUACCGGAUAAUAUAUUGAACCGCAUGGUUCAAUAGUGAAAGACGGUUUUGCUGUCACUUAUAGCUGGAUCCGCGCCGCAUUAGCUAGUUGGUAAGGUAACGGCUUACCAAGGCAACGAUGCGUAGCCGACCUGAGAGGGUGAUCAGCCACACUGGAACUGAGACACGGUCCAGACUCCUACGGGAGGCAGCAGUAGGGAAUCUUCCGCAAUGGGCGAAAGCCUGACGGAGCAACGCCGCGUGAGUGAUGAAGGUCUUCGGAUCGUAAAACUCUGUUAUUGGGGAAGAACAAAUGUGUAAGUAACAAUGCACGUCUUGACGGUACCUAAUCAGAAAGCCACGGCUAACUACGUG